CUGCAUAGUCCUGUGGUGGCACCACCCUUGGGUCAAAGUCAGAAGGAAAAAGAGGAAACACCAGGAAUCUUCCCUCACCGAUACGGAUCAUUCUCUAUAAGUGUUAUUUUAAAUUAUUUUAUUAUAAAAAUAAAAUGUACUGAAUGGUUAAAAACUCCAACGACAUGGAGAGCACAAAAACAAAUGGAGAAGAAAUUAAAGAGACGCCAGUAAUCAGACUUCCCAGAGCCAAGUGAGCUGCCAGGCGAGCUACAUCAGCCAGGAGAGCCACACCAUCCAGAACAGGGGCUACGUG